GGAGAGAUGGCUGAGCUGGUCUAAGGCGCACGACUGGAAAUCGUGUGAGUGUUAAUAGCGCUCCGAGAGUUCGAAUCUCUCUCUCUCCG
rnacentral:tRNA from 1 species